rnacentral:rRNA from 1 species
GAUGAACGCUGGCGGCGUGCCUAAUACAUGCAAGUCGAGCGAACAGACGAGGAGCUUGCUCCUCUGACGUUAGCGGCGGACGGGUGAGUAACACGUGGAUAACCUACCUAUAAGACUGGGAUAACUUCGGGAAACCGGAGCUAAUACCGGAUAAUAUCUUGAACCGCAUGGUUCAAUAGUGAAAUACGGUUUUUCUGUCACUUAUAGAUGGAUCCGCGCCGCAUUAGCUAGUUGGUAAGGUAACGGCUUACCAAGGCAACGAUGCGUAGCCGACCUGAGAGGGUGAUCGGCCACACUGGAACUGAGACACGGUCCAGACUCCUACGGGAGGCAGCAGUAGGGAAUCUUCCGCAAUGGGCGAAAGCUUGACGGAGCAACGCCGCGUGAGUGAUGAAGGUCUUCGGAUCGUAAAACUCUGUUAUUAGGGAAGAACAAAUGUGUAAGUAACUAUGCACGUCUUGACGGUACCUAAUCAGAAAGCCACGGCUAACUACGUG